UGGGGGAAGUUGAGAAAUUACAAAUUUUUUAAGAAUCUGGUUGAGAUUCCUAAAACCCCGCC
rnacentral:tRNA from 1 species